CUUCCACAAUGGACGAAAGUCUUGUGGAGCACUCCGCGUGAGUGAUGAGGUUCUUCGGAUCUUAAACUCUGUUGUAAGGGAGACAAGUGCGUUAGGUAAUGAACGCACCUUGACGGUACCUUAUUAGAAAGCCACGGCUAACUACCUGCCAGCAGCCGCGGUAAUACGUAGGUGGC
rnacentral:rRNA from 1 species